UCCGGCUUAACGCCGGCAGUCUCCUUAGAGUGCCACGGCUUGGCCCGGGGGCAACUAAGGACAGGGGUUGCGCUCGUUGCGGGACUUAACCCAACAUUUCACAACACGAGCCGACGACAGCCAUGCAGCACCUGUGCACGAUCUCCGAAGAGGGGCUCUCGUUUCUGAGAGCUUGCUCGUGCAUGUCAAGCCUAGGUAAGGUUCUUCGCGUUGCGUCGAAUUAAACCACAUGCUCCACCGCUUGUGCGGGCCCCCGUCAAUUCCUUUGAGUUUCAACCUUGCGGUCGUACUCCCCAGGCGGGGUACUUCCUGCGUUAGCGCCGGCACCCAGAGGGUCGAUCCCCGCCCCACACCUAGCACCCAACGUUUACGGCUAGGACUAC
rnacentral:misc_RNA from 1 species